AUGUUGAAGGUGCCUGCGGCAGUAACCAGGAGCCUCAACCGGCCUGACAAAAGAGUGGGGUGCCCUGAAAAGACGAGAGGAACUGGAAACGGGCAGAGGCACGCUCUGCGGGGAAAUCGCAGAAAUAACCUCAGGGAAGAUGCUUGCUGCAAACCAUGGAGGGUAGUAACUAGAUCGGGAGAGACAGAAGCCCAGGGACAAGUCAAGGUUAAAGCGCAAAAGCCACAGCAGCAAGGUCAGGAGCAGGGAAGAAAGCUAAGCAGGUGGUGCCUGAAUAUGUUUUGGCCAAGUGAAGAAAAGAAGGAAGGAAGUCUGUGAAUCCUCAAACAUUAAUACUUUUGGUCCCAUCUCCCAUUAAAUAUUUCUUGAGCAUCUCCUAUAAGCCGGGUUAUGGGUAUCAACAGUUAACAGAUAACCACAAUCCCUACCCUCAGAAAGCAUAGGGUUAUUGGGAAAACACAACAUGAAAAAAAAGAAGUAGACAAAACAUGUAGUUACGAAUCUCAGUAACUCUAUGCCGGAAAUACACAGGAUGCUAUGAGAGAACAUAACAGAGAUGAAAGGGAACUCACUUUUGAUUGAGUGUCCAUAGACGUUCUCUCUGAGUGAAGUGUAAUUUAAGCUGAGAACUGGUCAGGUGAACAGAGUGGGGAAUGAUACCAAGUGUGAUAAGAGUGGUGACCUCCCGGGUUUUUGGUGUGGCAAGAAUUGGGUGGUAGGUCACCCACAGAGGCGAGGGGAUCAAGGCUUAAAUUUCAGAGAUGUAAAUUUUGGGAAAAUAUAAUUACAGAUACAAAGCGACCUUGCACUCAGAGGAAAUAUGUAGACAAGGGGUAUAAAUUUUUGGAUUUAUUGCACAUAGAUGAUAGGUUAAGCCAUAGGGAGGGAGGGAGCAGGGCUGAGAGAGGAGAAGUGAGCCUGCCUGGGAGGUAGGAAGACUAGGGGAGUGAUGAUAGGUCAUAAAAGCCAAGAGGAGAGAGAAUUUCAGAAUCGGCAAGCUCAGUGAUCAGGAAAGGAGCAGGUGCUGGAAUGCUGGAAUUGGAUCUUCAAGGAAGAGGGGAAGGCAUUCCAGAAAAAGGCACCUGUAUAGGAAGAUAUAAAACCAAAAAAUCAGGGAGCACCACUGGGUUUGGUUGAGGCAUAAGGAAAGUUUGGGGUGUUUCACAAAAGACACUGAACACAGGCUAAGAAGCUCGCCAUGAAGAGGUGUUGAAUCAUUUUGAGUGGGGCUUCAAAUAACUUGCUCUGUCACUGCAUUUAGGUUUUUGCUUGAAUACAGUAUUCCUUGGGCACCUUGUCUAGAAACCCCUUCACCUGUUCCCAUCGACUCUGUACUCUGCUUUAGCUUUCUUUUCAGUAGUUGACACGACCUAUCAUUUUUAUGCAUUAAAUGCUUACUUGUUCCUGGUCCAUCUCUUCAAAUUCUAGAAAGGCAGCCCAACGAGCACAGAAUUUUAUUUAGUUCACUGCAGUACCUCCAGUGACUAAACAGGACCUAUCUCCUGAUAGGUGCUUAAUAAAUACUUGCUCAUUAAUAAAGGAAUCCA
rnacentral:lncRNA from 12 species